AUUUAAUAGUGCAGGAAUAAACAGAAAUCUGCAAUGACUGAAUGAGAAUGGUUUUCAUCUUCGAUUUUGGUAUCGUUUUCGUUCGCUCCCAAAUAAUUUUUAUACACGUUCGCCCCAUAGGACCUAACGCAUCUAAUUUCAAAUUCCAGUUGAAUUCAGUAUUACAAGGUAUGGGCAGAGGAGUUGACUAUUGAUAAUGACUGAUACUGGAAUUAAUGAAGUAACCUACAUGUAGUGUCCAAUCUCUAUGUGGAGUUUGCCUAUCAGACAGUCCAUUUUUACAUGUACCAAAAAAUAAUUAGCUCCCCAGAUGUAAGUGGAAGUGAAGUUAUACAUGUUAUAUGUUUCGAUGAAAUGAAUGACUUGAUUAGAUAUACAUGUAGUGGAGACCCUAUAGAUACAGUACAUGUAACUGGAACUGUAGGAAGUAUUCAAAGAGUCUGAUUGCUAAGUAUGCAUUACAGGAUUUUAUCAUUGGAGCAACAUCUUAGGAGGAGAAGUGCAAAUGUAUGAAGGAAUCCUUGGGUACAAAUAGCAAUUAUAUGCAGAAGAGGACUCUUAAACAUUAUUAACAGACAUGUAGUCAUAGUAGUGGUGUUUUCAAGAAACGUAAACCAACUGGAAUUAACAAUUGUGUAUAUUUUUUCAACCACAAGUACUUUCAGAAUAUAAUACAUUUCAAAUUCAAAUUAUUGUGUCAACAUACAAGUUACAGUAAAAAAAUGAAAAUG